rnacentral:rRNA from 1 species
CUUGACACUGAACAUUGAGCCUUGAUGUGUAGGAUAGGUGGGAGGCUUUGAAGUGUGGACGCCAGUCUGCAUGGAGCCGACCUUGAAAUACCACCCUUUAAUGUUUGAUGUUCUAACGUUGACCCGUGAUCCGGGUUGCGGACAGUGUCUGGUGGGUAGUUUGACUGGGGCGGUCUCCUCCUAAAGAGUAACGGAGGAGCACGAAGGUUGGCUAAUCCUGGUCGGGCAUCAGGAGGUUAGUGCAAUG